rnacentral:sRNA from 12 species
CCCGGACAAAUUCCGGGCGGCGGUAGUACGCAAGAAUUAAGCUUGCGGAUCGGCUAGUGAAUACUACUACAG